CCUACGGGAGGCAGCAGUGAGGAAUAUUGGUCAAUGGACGCAAGUCUGAACCAGCCAUGCCGCGUGCAGGAUGACGGCUCUAUGAGUUGUCAACUGCUUUUGUACGAGGGUAAACCCCGAUACGUGUAUCGGGUUGAAAGUAUCGUACGAAGAAGGAUCGGAUAACUCCGUGCCAGUAGCCGCGGUAAUAAGGAGGAUCCGAGCGUUAUCCGGAUGUAUUGGGGUUAAAGGGUGCGUAGGCGGUUUGAUAAGUUAGAGGUGAAAUGUCGGGGCUCAACACCGAAGCUGCCGCUAUUACUGUUGGACGAGCGAAUAGUUGCGGUAGGCGGAAUGUAUGGUGUAGCGGUGAAAUGCUUAGAGAUAAUACAGAACACCGAUUGCGAAGGCAGCUUACCAAACUAUAUCUGACGUUGAGGCACGAAAGCGUGGGUAGCAAACAGGAUUAGAUACCCUUGUAGUC
rnacentral:rRNA from 1 species